CAGUCGCCGCGGUAAUACGUAGGUGGCAAGCGUUGUCCGGAAUUAUUGGGCGUAAAGGGCUCGCAGGCGGUUUCUUAAGUCUGAUGUGAAAGCCCCCGGCUCAACCGGGGAGGGUCAUUGGAAACUGGGAAACUUGAGUGCAGAAGAGGAGAGUGGAAUUCCACGUGUAGUGGUGAAAUGCGUAGAGAUGUGGAGGAACACCAGUGGCGAAGGCGACUCUCUGGUCUGUAACUGACGCUGAGGAGCGAAAGCGUGGGGAGCGAACAGGAUUAGAUACCCCAGUAGUCCCUGUCUCUUAUAC
rnacentral:rRNA from 1 species